UUAAACGGCCGCGGUNNUUUGACCGNGCGAAGGUAGCGCAAUCACUUGUCUUCUAAAUGAAGGCCUGUAUGAAUGGUAGAACGANGGCUUAACUGUCUCCCUCUUCCAGUCAAUGAAAUUGAUUUACCCGUGCAGAAGCGGGUAUAACUAUACAAGACGAGAAGACCCUUUGGAGCUUAAGAUAAUAGGUCACNUAUGUCNAYACAAUAUAAACUAAAUAGAAAAUGACNUGGCUCUUCAGUUGGGGCGACUAUGGGAGAAAAACARGCUCCCACGAUAGAUUGGACAAAAACGUAAACCUAAGAAAACAUCUCUAAGACACAGAACAUCUGACUUUUAAGAUCCGGCCACCGCCGAUUAANGARACAAGUUACCCUAGGGAUAACAGCGCAAUCCCUUCCAAGAGCCCAUAUCGACAAGGGGNCUUACGACCUCGAUGUUGGAUCAGGACAUCUUAAUGGUG
rnacentral:rRNA from 1 species